CCUACGGGUGGCAGCAGUGAGGAAUAUUGGUCAAUGGACGAGAGUCUGAACCAGCCAAGUAGCGUGAAGGAUGACUGCCCUAUGGGUUGUAAACUUCUUUUAUAAAGGAAUAAAACGAGGCACGUGUGCCUUUUUGCAUGUACUUUAUGAAUAAGGAUCGGCUAACUCCGUGCCAGCAGCCGCGGUAAUACGGAGGAUCCGAGCGUUAUCCGGAUUUAUUGGGUUUAAAGGGAGCGUAGAUGGGUUGUUAAGUCAGUUGUGAAAGUUUGCGGCUCAACCGUAAAAUUGCAAUUGAUACUGGCAGUCGUGAGUACAGUUGAGGUAGGCGGAAUUCGUGGUGUAGCGGUGAAAUGCUUAGAUAUCACGAAGAACCCCGAUUGCGAAGGCAGCUUACUAAACUGUGACUGACAUUGAUGCUCGAAAGUGUGUGUAUCAAACAGGAUUAGAUACCCGAGUAGUC
rnacentral:rRNA from 1 species